ACGCACCCUGGCGGCAUGCCUCACACAUGCAAGUCGAACGAUGCCUUCGGGCAUAGUGGCGCACGGGUGCGUAACGCGUGGGAAUCUGCCUUUCGGUUCGGAAUAACUCAGGGAAACUUGAGCUAAUACCGGAUAACGUCGCAAGACCAAAGAUUUAUCACCGAAAGAUGAGCCCGCGUAGGAUUAGCUAGUUGGUGAGGUAAAGGCUCACCAAGGCGACGAUCCUUAGCUGGUCUGAGAGGAUGAUCAGCCACACUGGGACUGAGACACGGCCCAGACUCCUACGGGAGGCAGCAGUGGGGAAUAUUGGACAAUGGGCGAAAGCCUGAUCCAGCAAUGCCGCGUGAGUGAUGAAGGCCUUAGGGUUGUAAAGCUCUUUUACCCGGGAAGAUAAUGACGGUACCGGGAGAAUAAGCCCCGGCUAACUCCGUG
rnacentral:rRNA from 1 species